rnacentral:tRNA from 1 species
AUUAUAUUAGCAUAUUAGUGCAUUAAAUUUAGAAUUUAAUUAAGUUAUAGUAGGGAAAUAAUAUAUAAUA